UCUUGGUCCAAUUAGAGGAAGUAAAAGUCGUAACAAGGUCUCCGUUGGUGACAGCGGAGGGAUCAUUACCGAGUUAUCCAACUCCCAACCCCUGUGAAUCAUACCUUUAAUUGUUGCUUCGGCGGGACUUCGCGCCCGCCGGGGACCCAAACCUUCUGAAUUUUUUAAUAAGUAUCUUCUGAGUGGUUAAAAAAAAUGAAUCAAAACUUUCAACAACGGAUCUCUUGGUUCUGGCAUCGAUGAAGAACGCAGCGAAAUGCGAUAAGUAAUGUGAAUUGCAGAAUUCAGUGAAUCAUCGAAUCUUUGAACGCACAUUGCGCCCGUCAGUAUUCUGGCGGGCAUGCCUGUUCGAGCGUCAUUACGCCCCUCAAGUCCCCUGUGGACUUGGUGUUGGGGAUCGGCGAGGCUGGUUUUCCAGCACAGCCGUCCCUUAAAUUAAUUGGCGGUCUCGCCGUGGCCCUCCUCUGCGCAGUAGUAAAGCACUCGCAACAGGAGCCCGGCGCGGUCCACUGCCGUAAAACCCCCCAACUUUUAUAGUGACCUCGAAUCAGGUAGACAACCAGCUCAACUUAAGCAUAUCAAAAGGCCGGAGGAA
rnacentral:rRNA from 1 species